UGAAGGUGUGAUAAUUGCAUGGGGAGACAUUAGGACUACAGGCGGGUGGACCGGUCAAGGCUUUUUUUAAGGGACUGAAGGUGUGAUAAUUGCAUGGGGAGACAUUAGGACUACAGGCGGGUGGACCGGUCAAGGCUUUUUUUAAGGGACUGAAGGUGUGAUAAUUGCAUGGGGAGACAUUAGGACUACAGGCGGGUGGACCGGUCAAGGCUUUUUUUAAGGGACUGAAGGUGUGAUAAUUGCAUGGGGAGACAUUAGGACUACUGGUGGGUGGACCAGUCAAGGCUUUUUUUAAGGGACUGAAGGUGUGAUAAUUGCAUGGGGAGACAUUAGGACUAGAGGCGUGUGCCCAAGUGUCUCCCACUUAAAAUGGCGUGGUGGAUGACUUUGUCCUCCCAGAGCGAAUGGCAUCUUGUGUCGAACCAGGAGCCACGCAGGGUAGCCGUGUGGU